rnacentral:tRNA from 1 species
GCCCGUAUGGCUCAGCGGAAGAGCGCCGCUCUCACGCGGCGGAGGUCCCAGGUUCGAUCCCUGGUGCGGGUA